AUAACGUCAAACAAUCGGAACUUCUAACUCAUGAACAAAAUAAACAGCUGUAACAACUAUUAAAAAAUGAAAACAACAAAGAUCGGGCCCCGGUUCCGGACCCAGCAUAACCGCCCAACCAUGAGACGAUCACCCACUCGUCUCCCACAUUUUGUCCAUUAGAUGGCCAUCAGCCUGUGCCGGCUGUUAUGCCAACUCUUCCCAUUUAAGAAAAUUUAGCCGGACAUUUCUCUCUUCAGAUAUGCUAUUUAGAAUCUCAUGCAAGUGGAUAUUUGGUUAACUUCACAGGUCUCCGUUCAGAUGAAUUAGUGUUCAUGCACGUGAACAUUUCUUCCCCUGAAUUCCUUUUUUUAUUUUAACAGCACUAAAUGGAACAGGCGACGAAUUACAAAGAUAUUGCUAGUCGCCGCAAAAGAAACACGCACGGAGGCAAUUUUGAGGCAAUCGUUGCGCCAAUUUAGGAACAAUGUGCCCACACAACUACGUAAAACUGGGUAUGUCACGAUAAUCAGUCGUGCAACAGGUAGAUGAUAUAAAUUUGUACUAAAUCGCUUAAUUCUACCUUACACUACCUAAAGAGUUCUCUGGGGGUGGUAAGGGCGCAGAUGCAUCACCUUUGGAGUUUCCCUCUCCGUUCGCACUCUAAAGUGAAACUCGGCGUAAGUGCUUAUGUAUGCAUAGAUAUAAUUAACAAACUAAAUCUAACGACAAAAAAUCUGCUCUUUUUCAGGGAGUACGGUCAGGAGUCUCCAUCAUUUCUCUGCCAAGGGCUCGAACGAGGAUGGGCAAAAGGGAACGGACUUACUCGGAGGAUGUGGGCGUGGUCUCGCCUGUGGCCGCUUCUUCGUUGUUGGCGUCCGGUCGUGGCUCGUCUCGUCGCCUUCAGGGUUGCGCCGACGCUUGGCUGGCGGCGUCGCUGAUAUGACUGGUGUGCGCUGCUGAGCCAAAUCCUGGCCUUUGGUAUGUUUCGUGGGCUUCUCUGGUGCCUGGACUAAGCAAUAAACUAAUAAAGAAAGCCCGUCAUGAACAAAUGUA